GUGUGUUGUUGUUUAUGAAAAUUUUAGGAUUGCUAUCACUGAGAGGAAAGAAAAAGUUAUUGCCCUUAAGAAGUUGGGAAUAAAGGAUAGGAAGUCAAGGUGUAUCUCUGGUUGUACUAUAAUGCUACUGGUAAGCAUCUACCUCUACUUUUUUUUCAUUGGUUCUUUUUUAUUUAUUUAUUAAAGCCAUGUUUCUGAACAGUAUAUAUUCUGGUUGGCAGAUAUACUUUGUUGACAACAUGGUGAUGCCUGUAAUGUCUGACGAGAAUGAGGGGAAUGAGGAG
rnacentral:lncRNA from 1 species